rnacentral:rRNA from 1 species
ACAUGCAAGUCGAGCGGACAGAUGGGAGCUUGCUCCCUGAUGUUAGCGGCGGACGGGUGAGUAACACGUGGGUAACCUGCCUGUAAGACUGGGAUAACUCCGGGAAACCGGGGCUAAUACCGGAUGGUUGUUUGAACCGCAUGGUUCAAACAUAAAAGGUGGCUUCGGCUACCACUUACAGAUGGACCCGCGGCGCAUUAGCUAGUUGGUGAGGUAAGGCUCACCAAGGCAACGAUGCGUAGCCGACCUGAGAGGGUGAUCGGCCACACUGGGACUGAGACACGGCCCAGACUCCUACGGGAGGCAGCAGUAGGGAAUCUUCCGCAAUGGACGAAGGUCUGACGGAGCAACGCCGCGUGAGUGAUGAAGGUUUUCGGAUCGUAAAGCUCUGUUGUUAGGGAAGAACAAGUGCCGUUCGAAUAGGGCGGACCUUGACGGUACCUAACCAGAAAGCCACGGCUAACUACGUGCCAGCAGCCGCGGUAAUACGUAGGUGGCAAGCGUUGUCCGGAAUUAUUGGGCGUAAAGGGCUCGCAGGCGGUUUCUUAAGUCUGAUGUGAAAGCCCCGGGCUCAACCGGGGAGGGUCAUUGGAAACUGGGGAACUUGAGUGCAGAAGAGGAGAGUGGAAUUCCACGUGUAGCGGUGAAAUGCGUAGAGAUGUGGAGGAACACCAGUGGCGAAGGCGACUCUCUGGUCUGUAACUGACGCUGA